rnacentral:lncRNA from 1 species
UUAUUUUUUUCACUUCUCUUUGAGUUUGCUUUGGUUCUUUUCUUGACAAUUGUUCUUCCGUACUAGGUGUUAGGCCUGGUUAUGGAGGUGGAUGCCCGUGACCUCUCUCUCCGGGAGUCCGUGGACCGCCGGAUCGAGGAAGCGCGUCGCGAUGAAAACCUGACUGCCACCAGCGACGCGAGGGGCCACCUGGCAGCCGCCCGGGAGCAGAUCCAGGCUCUCCAAAGGGAGUUGCAUUCUGCGCUGGAGGCCUCUAAAAGAGCUGAGGACAGAACGGCUGAGGCGGUAGAACAUAGCAAAUCCCUGGAAUCAGAGCUGUCUCGUACUCGCAGGG